rnacentral:rRNA from 1 species
GACGAACGCUGGCGGCGUGCUUAACACAUGCAAGUCGAACGGAAAGGCCCUGCUUUUGUGGGGUGCUCGAGUGGCGAACGGGUGUGUAACACGUGAGUAACCUGCCCUUGACUUUGGGAUAACUUCAGGAAACUGGGGCUAAUACCGGAUAGGAGCUCCUGCUGCAUGGUGGGGGUUGGAAAGUUUCGGCGGUUGGGGAUGGUCUCGCGGCUUAUCAGCUUGUUGGUGGGGUAGUGGCUUACCAAGGCUUUGACGGGUAGCCGGCCUGAGAGGGUGACCGGCCACAUUGGGACUGAGAUACGGACCAGACGCCAACGGGAGGCAGCAGUGGGGAAUAUGGCACAAUGGGCGGAAGCCUGAUGCAGAAACGCCGCGUGCGGGAUGACGGCCUUCGGGUUGUAAACCGAUUUCGCCUGUGACGAAGCGUGAGUGACGGUAAUGGGUAAAGAAGCACCGGCUAACUACGUG